rnacentral:lncRNA from 1 species
AUCUAACCCAAUUACAACAAAUCUCCAAGCCCAAUAACUACCAAUUCGGCCCGACUCUUUAUCACUUUACUCCAGCCCAGUGGAAUCGCAGACCAUCCAACCCAAUCUCAGUCCAACUCCUUAAUCCUCUCCAAUUGAACCCUAUCCGACCCACAUUAGCCCAGCCAUCAGCCAUUUAAACUCUCACGACCCGACCCAAUCCUUCAACCAUCACCUACGACUUUCUGCUGAGGAAACAGAAGCUCUAUCCACAACAAUCGCCUCUGCCUUCCCGACAUCUCAGCGCUGGCUUCAC